rnacentral:rRNA from 1 species
UACGUAGGGCGCAAGCGUUAUCCGGAAUUAUUGGGCGUAAAGAGCUCGUAGGCGGUUUGUCGCGUCUGCUGUGAAAACCUAAGGCUCAACCUUGGGCUUGCAGUGGGUACGGGCAGACUAAAGUGCGGUAGGGGAGAUUGGAAUUCCUGGUGUAGCGGUGGAAUGCGCAGAUAUCAGGAGGAACACCGAUGGCGAAGGCAGGUCACUGGGCCGCAACUGACGCUGAGGAGCGAAAGCAUGGGGAGCGAACAGG